GCACUGCGCCCACCGCCACCAUGUUGGACUGAGCAUCUUGUGCAGCUUCUGCAAAGACAGACCGACUCGAGGAGCUGAAGUGCUCUCGCAGCCGUUUCCCAUCAGGAACUCUGGCCUGAGGCACCAGGUGCGAGGCCUCUGCGUGCGGCCUCCUGUGAGCUUGUGAAACAGACCAAGCACAAAGGAAAAGAAACAGGACUCUGCCAAGCUGGGACCAAAAUGGCCACAUGUGACCCACUGGGGGAAAACAUCCAAGAAACCAAAAAUGAGUAGAGGAAGCAGCUCCCCAGGAUGGCCCUGUCUGCAUUGUCCCUGAAUAUCUCCCACAGCAAAGCCCCCAUCAACUUAAGCAAAGAGGAAAAAGACUUUAUUUCCAUGCACUUGGAUUCUGCAGCUCAGUAGAAAUCUCAUAGGAAGAGUUAUUCCUUUUUAUUCCACACCAGCUUGGGAAUGCGAUGCCCUGACCUUGUUUGUCCUUCUUUGAGAAAACUCCUUCUCACAUGGAUUUUCAGCUUCUGAGCCAGGCCUCCACCUGCGUUCAUCUUUCCCUGUGUCUUCCUCUCUGAUCCUUCACAGGAUCCUGCUGGCAACGGCGUGAUGACACGUUUCUGCUGACAGCUCUGAACUUUCAGGCAGAAUCUCUGUGAAUAAGGAAAACUGAGGCUGAAGGAAGUUUCUUUUCAAGAUAACAGGACAAACACAGGAAUAAAUUUAGUAGUAUUAAGCACAUCAUAUACACAUAUACACAUAUUCUUUUCCUUUCGAGGUUACAGGAUUUUGAGUAUAGUUCCCUAUAAAAUAUAGUAGCUCCUUGAUGUUUACCUAUUUUAUACGUAAAAAUAGCCAGACUGUGCAUAUAUUUCUAAGGUGGGGCUGAUAGGAUUUUCUGACAAAUUAGACAUGGGGGAUGAAGAAAAAGGAGUCCUUAAGGACAACACUGAGCAACUGGAUGGAUGGAGCAGCGCGUAGAGAAAGGAAGGUCAAAAGUUUAGUUUAGUUAAGAACCAACAUUUGAGACCCCUAGGAGAUAAAUGGAAGCGGUGAGUGGGCAGUUAAUUACAUGAGUCAUAAAUACCCAGACAGGACAGAAAAAUUAGGGCGCUCCCAUGAUAUGGAUUACUGAAAUCCACGAGACUGAGUGAGCUCAGCAAAAGAAUGAGUCUACACAGCGAGAAGAGCCCCAAGGGUUGACCACUGAGCCACUCCCCAGCUUAGAGAUAAGAAAGAUGUGGAACCAUCUGUAAAGGAGACAGAAUCACGGAGCAGGGAAACCAGCGGAAUGUGUGUUCCUGGAAGCUGAGUGGAGAGUGACUUCCAAAAAGGAGGCAGUGAUGGCCUCGUCGGAUGCCGCUGAUGAGGCGAGCAGGACGCCACCUGAGAGCUGGUGUUGGAUUUUGCCCUGGCACUAUCCCUGGAGACUGGCCAUCCAGCUUUGCUGGCGUGAACGGGGUCGAGAUAUUUAACGGCCAUUUGAGUGACGUGUCCUCCUUCACGGGGCCCUGGGAUUUUCUCCCAAGUAUUAGUGCCAUGAAAAUAGCUGACUUGGGGGGAACCAUCGAUCGUUCUAAUUGCAGAUGUUUUUGCUCGGUAUUAAAGGAAUUCAUCUGGUU
rnacentral:lncRNA from 1 species